rnacentral:rRNA from 1 species
GCAUAUCAAUAAGCGGAGGAAAAGAAACUAACAAGGAUUCCCCUAGUAACGGCGAGUGAAGCGGGGAGAGCUCAAAUUUGAAAUCUGGUGGCCUCAGGUCAUCCGAGUUGUAAUCUAUAGAAGUGUUUUCCGUGCUGGCUCAUGUACAAGUCCCUUGGAACAGGGCGUCAUAGAGGGUGAGAAUCCCGUCCUUGACAUGAACUACCAGUGCUCUGUGAUACAUUUUCAACGAGUCGAGUUGUUUGGGAAUGCAGCUCAAAAUGGGUGGUAAAUUCCAUCUAAAGCUAAAUAUUGGCGAGAGACCGAUAGCGAACAAGUACCGUGAGGGAAAGAUGAAAAGCACUUUGGAAAGAGAGUUAAACAGUAUGUGAAAUUGUUGAAAGGGAAACGAUUGAAGUCAGUCGUGCUCUUUGGAUUCAGCCGGUUCUGCCGGUGUACUUCCUUUGAGUGGGGUCAACAUCAGUUUUGAUCGCUGGAUAAAGGCUGGAGGAACGUAGUACCCUCGGGUAAACUUAUAGCCUCCUGUCACAUACAGUGGUUGGGACUGAGGAACGCAGCACGCCUUUAUGGCCGGGAUUCGUCCACGUACGUGCUUAGGAUGUUGACAUAAUGGCUUUAAACGACCCCGUCUUGAAACACGGACC